UACAGAGGUCUCAAGCGUUGUUCGGAUUCACUGGGCGUAAAGGGCGCGUAGGUGGCCUGUGGAAGUCUGCGGUGAAAGCCCGGCGCUCAACGCCGGGUCGGCCGUGGAUACUCUCGGGCUCGAGCUUACUAGAGGCAGAUGGAAUUCCGGGUGUAGCGGUGGAAUGCGUAGAGAUCCGGAAGAACACCGGUGGCGAAGGCGGUCUGCUGGGGUAAUGCUGACACUGAUGCGCGACAGCGUGGGGAGCAAACAGG
rnacentral:rRNA from 1 species